AUUGAACGCUGGCGGCAGGCCUAACACAUGCGAGUCGAGCGGAUGAAGGGAGCUUGCUCCUGGAUUCAGCGGCGGACGGGUGAGUAAUGCCUAGGAAUCUGCCUGGUAGUGGGGGAUAACGUCCGGAAACGGGCGCUAAUACCGCAUACGUCCUGAGGGAGAAAGUGGGGGAUCUUCGGACCUCACGCUAUCAGAUGAGCCUAGGUCGGAUUAGCUAGUUGGUGGGGUAAAGGCCUACCAAGGCGACGAUCCGUAACUGGUCUGAGAGGAUGACCAGUCACACUGGAACUGAGACACGGUCCAGACUCCUACGGGAGGCAGCAGUGGGGAAUAUUGGACAAUGGGCGAAAGCCUGAUCCAGCCAUGCCGCGUGUGUGAAGAAGGUCUUCGGAUUGUAAAGCACUUUAAGUUGGGAGGAAGGGCAGUAAGUUAAUACCUUGCUGUUUUGACGUUACCAACAGAAUAAGCACCGGCUAACUUCGUG
rnacentral:rRNA from 1 species